AGUGAACGCUGGCGGUAGGCCUAACACAUGCAAGUCGAACGGCAGCACAGUAAGAGCUUGCUCUUACGGGUGGCGAGUGGCGGACGGGUGAGGAAUACAUCGGAAUCUACUUUUUCGUGGGGGAUAACGUAGGGAAACUUACGCUAAUACCGCAUACGCCCUACGGGUGAAAGCAGGGGAUCUUCGGACCUUGCGCGAUUGAAUGAGCCGAUGUCGGAUUAGCUAGUUGGCGGGGUAAAGGCCCACCAAGGCGGCGAUCCGUAGCUGGUCUGAGAGGAUGAUCAGCCACACUAGAACUGGGACACGGUCCAGACGCCUACGGGAGGCAGCAGUGGGGAAUAGUGGACAAUGGGCGCAAGCCUGAUCCAGCCAUACCGCGUGGGUGAAGAAGGCCUUCGGGUUGUAAAGCCCUUUUGUUGGGAAAGAAAAGCAGCAGGUUAAUACCCCGCUGUUCUGACGGUACCCAAAGAAUAAGCACCGGCUAACUUCGUG
rnacentral:rRNA from 1 species